rnacentral:rRNA from 1 species
AUUGAACGCUGGCGGCAGGCUUAACACAUGCAAGUCGAGCGGAGUGAUGGUGCUUGCACUAUCACUUAGCGGCGGACGGGUGAGUAAUGCUUAGGAAUCUGCCUAUUAGUGGGGGACAACAUCUCGAAAGGGAUGCUCAUACCGCAUACGUCCUACGGGAGAAAGCAGGGGAACACUUGUGACCUUGCGCUAAUAGAUGAGCCUAAGUCGGAUUAGGUAGUUGGUGGGGUAAAGGCCUACAAAGGCGACGAUCUGUAGCGGGUCUGAGAGGACGAUCCGCCAGACUGGAGCUGAGACACCGCCCAGAGUCCUACGGGAGGCAGCAGUGGGGAAUAUUGGACAAUGGGGGGAACCCUGAUCCAGCCAUGACGCGUGUGUGAAGAAGGCCUUAUGGUUGUAAAGCACUUUAAGCGAGGAGGAGGCUUACCUAGUUAAUACCUGGGAUAAGUGGACGUUACUCGCAGAAUAAGCACCGGCUAACUCUGUGCCAGCAGCCGCCGUAAUAC